ensembl:snRNA U6 U6 spliceosomal RNA
GUGCUCGCGUCAGCAUCCCAUAUACUAAAAUUGGAAUGAUACAGAGAAGAUUAGCAUGGCCCUUGCACAAGGGUGACAUGCAAAUUCAUAAAGUGUUCCAUAUAAAA